UACGAAGGGGGCUAGCGUUGCUCGGAAUCACCGGGCGUAAAGGGUGCGUAGGCGGGUCUUUAAGUCAGGGGUGAAAUCCUGGAGCUCAACUCCAGAACUGCCUUUGAUACUGAAGAUCUUGAGUUCGGGAGAGGUGAGUGGAACUGCGAGUGUUGAGGUGAAAUUCGUAGAUAUUCGCAAGAACACCAGUGGCGAAGGCGGCUCACUGGCCCGAUACUGACGCUGAGGCACGAAAGCGUGGGGAGCAAACAGG
rnacentral:rRNA from 1 species